GACGAACGCUGGCGGCGUGCUUAACACAUGCAAGUCGAACGAAGUGGCGAACGGGUGAGUAACGCGUAAACAACCUGCCCUUCAGAGGGGGACAACAGUUGGAAACGACUGCUAUUACAGCAUACUGAAGGAGGGGUUUGAGUGUGAUUGGCUCGUUGGGGGGGUAACGGCCCACCAAGGCGAUGAUCAGUAGCCGGUCUGAGGGGAUGGACGGCCACAUGGGGACUGAGACACGGCCCAGACUCCUACGGGAGGCAGCAGGGGGGAAUCUUCCGCAAUGGACGAAAGUCUGACGGCGCAACGCCGCGGGAGUGAUGACGGCCUUCGGGUUGUAAAGCUCUGUUAAUCGGGACGCGGUACCGGAAUAGAAAGCCACGGCUAACUACGUGCCAGCAGCCGCGGUAAUUC
rnacentral:rRNA from 1 species